GGGCCCGCGGCCCAUCAGCUAGUUGGUAGGGUAAUGGCCUACCAAGGCGACGACGGGUAGCCGGCCUGAGAGGGUAACCGGCCACACGGGGACUGAGACAUGGUCCCGGCUCCUACGGGAGCUAGCAUCGGGGAAUCUUGCGCAAUGGGCGAAAGCCCGACGCAGUGACGCCGCGUGGGGGACGAAGGCCCUCGGGUCGUAAACCCCUGACAGGAGGGAAGCUGACGGUACCUCCAAGGAAGCCCCGGCUAACUACGUGCCAGCAGCCGCGGCAAUACGUAGGGGGCGAGCGUUGUCCGGAAUUACUGGGCGUAAAGGGCGCGUAGGCGGUCCGUUAAGCGGAGGGUGAAAGCCCACGGCUCAACCUUGGAAUUGCUCUCCGAACUGACGGACUAGAGGCCGGGAGAGGGCAGUGGAAUUGCCGGUGUAGCGGUGACAUGCGUAAAU
rnacentral:rRNA from 1 species